AUUCUUUUUUGUUUUUGUUUCUUGCCCCAUUAAGGAUUUCAGUUUUUCUGACUUUUAAAUAAGAGGAUGAUUGCUCACAGAAAGAAGAAGGCAAAGAAAAAGUCUGUUUCAGCAUCAGGCCAACUUUCUGCUGAUAAGUCCAUAAGUUCCAACUUAGCAUCAAGAAAGGACUUCAUCAAGGAGGUGUUGAAUGAUAUCAGCGAGGUCACCCACAUGUUACAAUCUUUCAAGGAAGCUAUUCUUUCUGGUUGCUUUAAAGAAGUCAUUGAUAUACGUCUGGAUGAACUUCUCGAUGUUUUAACGUCUGUAAUUAAUAAGCAUCAGAACCUCAAUUCUGUUGAUAUACAACAUGCUGCAGAAAUGCUUGCUGCAAAAGUGAAAGCUGUGAAUUUUACAGAAGUUAAUGAAGACAACAAAAAUGAUCUAUUCCAAGAAGUAUUUUCUUCUG
rnacentral:lncRNA from 1 species